GGGCUUAUAGCUCAGAUGGUGAGAGCACACGCCUGAUAAGCGUGAGGUCGGUGGUUCGAGUCCACCUAAGCCCACCA
rnacentral:tRNA from 1 species